rnacentral:tRNA from 1 species
GUGGCCUAGUCAGUAGCGUGUCUGGCUCGUAACCGGAAGGACGUGGGUUUGAAUCCCGCC